rnacentral:rRNA from 1 species
CCAAAAACAUCUCUCUUUGUUAAUAAUAAAUAAGGAGUUGGGCCUGCUCGGUGAAUAUUUUUUAACAGCUGCGGUAUUUUAACUGUACUAAGGUAGCAUAAUAAUUUGCCUUAUAAUUUGAGGCUAGAAUGAAUGGUUUGACGAAGGUUAAUCUGUCUCCGUUUUAUUUUUUAGAAAUUAAUUUUCAUAGUGAAAAAGCUUGAAUUUUUUAAAGGGACGAGAAGACCCUAUUGAGCUUAUAAUUUUAUUACUAUUAUGUUUGUUAAAUUCAUCAUUGUAGUAUAUAAAUUUUAAUUGGGGUGAUUAAGGAAUAAGUUUUUUAUAAUAUAACUUCCUUAGAUUAAUAUAUUGUUAGAUUAAGUAACCGAUGUGAUUAACAUAAUGUAUGUUAUGUAUUGCUUAUAAUAUAGUUACCAUAGGGAUAACAGCGUAAUUUACUUAGAGAGUUCUUAUUGAAAAUUAAGAUUGCUGACCUCGAUGUUGGAUUAAAGUAAC